CCCUUAGAUGUUCUGGGCCGCACGCGUGCUACACUGAGUGGAUCAGCGGGUCAGGUUGCGCGAAAGUGUUUCCUAAUCUUGAAAUCCGCUCGUGAUGGGGAUUGACGGUUGCAAUUUUCCGUCAUGAACGAGGAAUACCUUGUAAGCGCGGGUCAUCAUCCCGCGCUGAAUACGUCCCUGCCCUUUGUACACACCGCCCGUCGCUCCUACCGAUUGAGUGGUCCGGUGAGGCUUUGGGAUCUGAGCAAAGAGAGCGUUUCGCUCGUUUUGCUCGGAAAACUCAGUCGAACCUUAUCAUUGAGAGGAAGGAGAAGUCGUAACA
rnacentral:rRNA from 1 species